AGCUCGAAGAGACCAAUAAGGUCCUAUAAACGCCUGCAAGAAAAUGGUAUCGUCAGAAAUCUGGUACGAAACUAUAUAUUGUAUAAAAAAAUACUUUCCAUCCAUUAUGAGUGCAAAAUAGAGAAUUUCUAUAUACAGUAUCAAGCAUGCCCCUAUCAGAACAAAGGAAUCCAGAUAAUUAUAGUCUUGUUUAAACACUGGUGAUAGAAUAUCAGAAGAUUAAAUUCUUUGAAGUCUUAAAUAUGUCCUCAAAUCUGUUAUUUUUUUAUGAUUGUCAAUAAUUUCAGGCACACAGGUAGAUCAAGAAACAGUUAAGUAUUUCUGCAUUGAUGGGGUUUACAAGUUAGAUCAAAAGAAUACAAGUCUACAGAUCAAGAAUAAAAUGUAACAUUUUGACAUACAUGAAAAACUACUGCACAUCUUCCACUUCUUUUUUUUCCCC
rnacentral:lncRNA from 1 species